UACGUGGGGGGCUAGCGUUGUCCGGAUUUAUUGGGCGUAAAGAGCGUGUAGGCGGUCAGGUAGGUCGGUUGUGAAAACUCGAGGCUCAACCUCGAGACGUCGGCGGAAACCAUCUGGCUAGAGUCCGGAAGAGGAGAGUGGAAUUCCUGGUGUAGCGGUGAAAUGCGCAGAUAUCAGGAAGAACACCCGUGGCGAAGGCGGCUCUCUGGGACGGUACUGACGCUGAGACGCGAAAGCGUGGGGAGCGAACAGG
rnacentral:rRNA from 1 species